AAUGGCCAUAAGAAAUUUUGGGAACUGAAAUAAGAAUGAUGUCACAAUGAGUUAGAGUUAGAAUGCUGUGGAAAAGUUUCUGAGAAGGGAGAGAAAUGGAGGGAAGUGAGACAUGACUAAGAUGUAGGUAAAAAGGAAUAAAGGUUUUCCCUGCUCAAAACUCUCAUGAAGAAAUUAAUGGAGAAGGAAAGCACAAAGCAUGCUUGAAAGAAAGCAAGAGUCUUCUUAUAAGUAUCACCUCCCAUGGAGUGAUAAGAAGUCAAACUCAUCCAUCAUGUCAGUGGGAAGAGAAGGUAUAAAUGAUAGAAGAGAUCCAAGUUUAUCAGGAAAGGAUAAAGGGCAGCUUACAAUUUGGAUCAAAACGGCAAAUUUUGAUACAUCUGCCUACGCUGUCCCUCACAGCAAGCCUGGAGACAUUAGAAAAUAAAAAUAUAAGGUGUCAGAAUGGAUGUAAACUAGAAGAAAACAGAAAUACUUGGAAAACUGAAGAUACGUGGGUCUCACUAUACAGAAAAAUGGUGGCUGGGAGAAGAACAGAGCUAGGGCCUAAGAGACCCGAAUAGGGCCUGAGCCCAGCUGGGGUGGGAAAACUGUAGCAGUUUGGAGCUACACCCUUUGCCUUCUGACAGAGCACCCUGGGCAUGAGCUGAUUGAUGCCCCACACGCUCACACCCCCAUGGAUGUUCUCACAUGGUAUGUGAGCACACUGGUUGUUGUUGCUGGCCAGGUAAACACUCAGAAUAGUGAGUUAUACAAAUAAGUACAGGGAUAUGAUAUUACCUGAAGGUCCACCUUGUACAUGUUCCUGGUGUGAGAGCAGUAGCGUUACCCAGAUGCAGGAAGACAAUGACAGAACAAGGCCAUGAAAAGGAUGGCUACACACAGAGCAGCUUUUGUAUAGCUAUACCAUUUAUCUUGGACCUGGCAAUUGAGACUAAAGAAAGGUGUUAUCAGACAAAAGUAGUGCUUUGGGAAGUAGGAAGAAGACACCUUGGGUGCAAAAAAAUGCCAUGAAGAAUUGAAAUGGUUGAAGCUCAUAUUAGAGUACUUGUUUCAGACAUCUGUCUUGCUCUUCAGCCCCUACUUUUACCAAGAGAGAGGAGGAAAAGUCUAGAGAGCAAACAGACUCAAGAAAACAAACCUGAGCUUGGGACAAAAACAAUCUUACAGUAUUGAUAAAGCUCAAGCAUUGAGAAAGAAAAGCAAAAAGAGGCCUAUCUGUAACACAAGAG
rnacentral:lncRNA from 1 species